GUGUAAAGGCAUAAGGGAACUUGACUGCGAGACCUACAAGUCGAGCAGGGUCGAAAGACGGACUUAGUGAUCCGGUGGUUCCGCAUGGAAGGGCCAUCGCUCAACGGAUAAAAGCUACCCCGGGGAUAACAGGCUUAUCUCCCCCAAGAGUUCACAUCGACGGGGAGGUUUGGCACCUCGAUGUCGGCUCAUCGCAUCCUGGGGCUGUAGUCGGUCCCAAGGGUUGGGCUGUUCGCCCAUUAAAGCGGUACGCGAGCUGGGUUCAGAACGUCGUGAGACAGUUCGGUCCCUAUCCGUCGUGGGCGUAGGAAAUUUGAGAGGAGCUGUCCUUAGUACGAGAGGACCGGGAUGGACAUACCUCUGGUGUACCAGUUGUCGUGCCAACGGCAUAGCUGGGUAGCUAUGUGUGGACGGGAUAAGUGCUGAAAGCAUCUAAGCAUGAAGCCCCCCUCAAGAUGAGAUUUCCCAACUUCGGUUAUAAGAUCCCUCAAAGA
rnacentral:rRNA from 1 species